rnacentral:rRNA from 1 species
AGUGGGGAAUCUUGGACAAUGGGGGCAACCCUGAUCCAGCGACGCCGCGUGGGUGAUGAAGGCCUUCGGGUUGUAAAGCCCUUUUCCCGGGGACGAUGAUGACGGUACCCGGGGAAUAAGCACCGGCUAACUCCGUGCCAGCAGCCGCGGUAAGACGGAGGGUGCUAGCGUUGUUCGGAAUUACUGGGCGUAAAGGGCGCGUAGGCGGCUCUUUCAGUCGGAUGUGAAAGCCCGGGGCUCAACCCCGGAACGGCAUCCGAGACGGGAGGGCUCGAGACCGGGAGAGGAGGGUGGAAUAGCCAGUGUAGAGGUGAAAUUCGUAGAUAUUGGCUGGAACACCGGUGGCGAAAGCGGCUCUCUGGCCCGGUUCUGACGCUGAGGCGCGAAAGCGUGGGGAGCAAA